rnacentral:rRNA from 1 species
UACGUAGGCAGCAAGCGUUGUUCGGAGUUACUGGGCGUAAAGGGUGUGUAGGCGGUCUUCUAAGUUUGGUGUGAAAUCUCCCGGCUCAACUGGGAGGGUGCGCCGAAAACUGGGAGGCUAGAGUGCGGGAUGGGAGAGUGGAAUUCCUGGUGUAGCGGUGAAAAUGCGCAGAUAUCAGGAAGAACACCAAUGGCGAAAGCAGCUCUCUGGGACGGUACUGACGCUGAGACGCGAAAGCGUGGGGAGCGAACAGG